rnacentral:rRNA from 1 species
GACGAACGCUGGCGGCGUGCUUAACACAUGCAAGUCGAGCGGUAAGGCUCCUUCGGGAGUACACGAGCGGCGAACGGGUGAGUAACACGUGAGCAAUCUGCCCUUCACUCUGGGAUAACCCUCGGAAACGAGAGCUAAUACCGGAUACGAUCACUUCAGGCAUCUGAUGGUGAUGGAAAGUUCCGGCGGUGAAGGAUGAGCUCGCGGCCUAUCAGCUUGUUGGUGAGGUAAUGGCUCACCAAGGCUUCGACGGGUAGCCGGCCUGAGAGGGUGACCGGCCACACUGGGACUGAGACACGGCCCAGACUCCUACGGGAGGCAGCAGUGGGGAAUAUUGGACAAUGGGCGAAAGCCUGAUCCAGCAACGCCGCGUGAGGGAUGACGGCCUUCGGGUUGUAAACCUCUUUCAGCACAGACGAAGCGCAAGUGACGGUAUGUGCAGAAGAAGGACCGGCCAACUACGUGCCAGCCGCCGCGGUAAAAC